rnacentral:rRNA from 1 species
ACCUGCCCACUGAUUUAUUGAAUGGCCGCAGUAAUUUGACUGUGCAAAGGUAGCAUAAUCAUUAGUUUUUUAAUUGAAAGCUAGAAUGAAUGGUUGGACGAAAUAAUUUCUGUCUCUAUUUAAAUUAUUUUAGAAUUUAAUUUUUGAGUUAAAAAGCUUAAAUUUUUGUAAAAGACGAGAAGACCCUAUAGAUCUUUAUGAUUUUUUUAUAUAGUUUUAUUUAAGUAUAUUAUAUUAUUUAUAUGAUUGAUUAUUUUAUUGGGGUAAUAGGGAGAUUAAAUUAAUUCUUUUUUUUGUUAAAUAUAUGUUAAUAGAUAAAUGAUCCAAUUUUUUUGAUUAUAAGAAUAAGUUACCUUAGGGAUAACAGCGUAAUUUUUUUUGAGAGUUCAUAUCGAUAAAAAAGUUUGCGACCUCGAUGUUGGAUUAAAAAUUAUUUUAGGUGUAGAAGUCUAAAAAUUUGGUCUGUUCGACCAUUAAAUUUU